CAACAGGGAUUGCCCCAGUAGCGGCGAGCGAAGCGGCAACGGCCCAAAUUUGAAAUCCGGCCCCCCCCGGGCCCGAGUUGUAAUUUGCAGAGGACGCUUCCGGCCCGGCCCCCUCCGAGUCCCCUGGAACGGGGCGCCGCAGAGGGUGAGAGCCCCGUACGGUCGGGCGCCGGCGCCGGUGCGAAGCUCCUUCGACGAGUCGAGUAGUUUGGGAAUGCUGCUCAAAACGGGAGGUAAAUUCCUUCCAAGGCUAAAUACCGGCUGGAGACCGAUAGCGCACAAGUAGAGUGAUCGAAAGAUGAAAAGCACUUUGGAAAGAGGGUUAAACAGCACGUGAAAUUGUUGAAAGGGAAGCGCCCGUGGCCAGACUUGGGGCGGGCCGAUCCCCCGGCGCCCGCGCCGGGGCCCUCGGCCCGGCCCAGGCCAGCGUCGGGUCCCGCGGGGGGACGAAGGCCCCGGGAACGUGGCUCCCCACGGGGAGUGUUACAGCCCGGGGCGCAACGCCCCCGCGGGGCCCGAGGUCCGCGCCCCGCAAGGACGCUGGCGUAAUGGCCCCCGGCGACCCGUCUUGAAACACGGACCAAGGAGUCAAGGUUCUGCGCGAGUGUCUGGGUGCCAAGCCCGCACGCGGAAUGAAAGUGAACGCAGGUGGGAGCUUCGGCGCACCACCGACCGGUCCUGAAGUCCUCGGAUGGAUCUGAGUAGGAGCGCAGCGCCUUGGACCCGAAAGGUAAGCGCCGCCCCGCCCCCCGCCCCCCACCCCCCGCGCCGCCGGCGAGGACGACAACGCUAACAGAACGCAGAUGGUGAACUAUGCUUGGAUAGGGUGAAGCCAGAGGAAACUCUGGUGGAGGCUCGCAGCGGUUCUGACGUGCAAAUCGAUCGUCAAAUCUGAGCAUGGGGGCGAAAGUGAGUGACAACCCCCCCCGGAACGCCGUCGCCGCCGGGCAAAAAGCUACACACCUCA
rnacentral:rRNA from 1 species